rnacentral:rRNA from 1 species
ACGGGAGGCAGCAGUGAGGAAUAUUGGUCAAUGGGCGGAAGCCUGAACCAGCCAUCUCGCGUGCAGGACUACGGCCCUACGGGUCUUAAACUGCUUUUAUGGGGGGAUAAAGUCGGGCAUGCGUGUCCGUUUGCAGGUACCCCAUGAAUAAGGAUCGGCUAACUCCGUGCCAGCAGCCGCGGUAAUACGGAGGAUCCGAGCGUUAUCCGGAUUUAUUGGGUUUAAAGGGUGCGCAGGCGGCCCGUUAAGUCAGCGGUGAAAUGUCGGGGCUCAACCCGGGCACUGCCGUUGAAACUGGGGGGCUUGAGUACGGAUGAGGUCGGCGGAAUGUGACGUGUAGCGGUGAAAUGCAUAGAUAUCACACAGAACACCGAUCGCGUAGGCAGCGCACUACGCCGCAACUGACGCUGAGGCACGAAGGCGCGGGGAUCGAACAGGAUUAGAUACCCUGGUA